GUGAAUAUAAUUGAAAAUUUAGAGACCUCCUCUUAAGCAAUAAAUUUUCAAUCAUAUUCCCUAAAAUCAUUUUAGCAGUUCACAUACAGAUUAAUUCUUCCUUCCCUGCGCUAAUUACACAGAUUAUUGACUUCCUCUUAAGCAUUUGUAAGCAGCUGAUGUUAUUUUCUCUACCAGUUUUGGUUCUCUUGUUCUUCACUUCACCUCUUCUUUUUCUUUUUUGAGAUAAUUCACUUCACUCUCUCAAACAACUGAUCUUCCCCUCGAUACACCCAUCUCUUCAACUCUCUCUUCCCAAACAACCCAAUUCUUAAAUCAAAUACUGGUGCAUUCUCUCCAAUGACCGACCUGAUUUCUGUUUUCAUCGAACAAUGUUUCUCUCCAACUCGAAGCGGUUCAUUCUCAUCGGAAAUAAGUCAUACGACAUCAUCUGCGAAGGAAGAAAACUCGAUGGACUUCGAAUAAGUGAAAACGGCUGCAGAUACAGGUAGUUAAUCAGCCUCAACAGAGACGGCGUGAGAUGGAUAACCGAAUCACUCAACGACUUAUACUGGAACAAGAGAGGGAAGUCCUGGGGUAAAAAAUUUAAAGGUGACUAGUCGUGUUUUUCUGACAAAAAACUGAGAUGUUUCAGUAAAAAU
rnacentral:lncRNA from 1 species